rnacentral:rRNA from 1 species
GAUGAACGCUGGCGGCGUGCCUAACACAUGCAAGUCGAGCGAAGCACUUUGCUUGGAUUCUUCGGAUGAAGAGGAUUGUGACUGAGCGGGCGACGGGUGAAGGUAACGCGUGGGUAACCUGCCUUUCAGAGGGGGACAACAGCUGGAAACGGCUGCUAAUACCGCAUGACGCAUGACUGGGGCAUCCCGGACAUGCCAAAGAUUUUUAUCGCUGAAAGAUGGCCUCGCGUCUGAUUAGCUAGUUGGCGGGGUAACGGCCCACCAAGGCGACGAUCAGUAGCCGGACUGAGAGGUUGAACGGCCACAUUGGGACUGAGAUACGGCCCAG